rnacentral:rRNA from 1 species
UACGAGGGGUGCAAGCGUUGCUCGGAAUUAUUGGGCGUAAAGGGUAGGUAGGUGGUCUCAUUUGUCUGGGGUGAAAGCCUUGAGCUUAACUCAAGAAGUGCCCCGGAAACGGUGAGACUGGAGUCCUGGAGAGGGUCGUGGAAUUCCCGGUGUAGCGGUGAAAUGCGUAGAGAUCGGGAGGAACACCAGAGGCGAAGGCGGCGACCUGGAUAGGCACUGACACUCAACUACGAAAGCGUGGGGAGCAAACAGG